NNNNNNNNNNNNNNNNNNNNNNNNNNNNNNNNNNNNNNNNNNNNNNNNNNNCCGUGCAGCCAGCAGCAGCAAGGGCCCAGCCACUCAGCCCACACUCAGAAGCACUAGGCGAGCUGCAGAGCACCUGCCAGCAAUUCCAGCAGAACAUAUCACUACGUGUAUCAACACCGAGAUGCCCAGUGUGCACUACAGGCCUGUUGCACAGCGCUUGCCCUCUCUGCCCAGCAAGAUCAAGCCUUUGGAGCUGCCAAAGAGGAGCUGCCUGGUCAGAGCUCCUGAGAAAGAGGAGCACCAAGCACGUCUCACUCCCAUGCCACCGGCGUGGGCUUCUAAUAACGCUGUCGGGAAGGAAGCAGCACCGCAGAGACAGAGACAUGGGCCUGCCCUGCAGAACACCAAAGUCCUGGAUGCAGUUGUGCAGGUCACAACAACAUCUGAAAAGAUGAAGCCGCUGCACCUGCCUGUGGCUAUGGUCCAGAGAACCAACAAGAAGCAGGUAGAACAGCAAGAGAUAAGCCAGAAAUUGCAUGUGGAGAUGGCAGAGUUGUCACAUGCAGCACUUAAGGACAAUGAGUUUGCUGUGGCUGCAGAGACUCGGGGAGAGGCAGCUGGAGACCUGCAGAGUGUGUCUCCUGUCCUGGCCAGUGCCACAGACACCGAGCUGGCAGCUCCUCCUCUGGCUGGAGUUGCUGAGGAAGAGCAGCACCCUGCACCUCUCACUUCUGUGGAACACGAGCCGGAGGAGGCACCGGCACCACCUUCCUAUGGCUUUGACAAGGAGGAGGUAGAAGAAGAGGAGCGCAGAAAGUCGUUGGCCCUGCUCAGCCCCACUGCCUUGGAGUUGGUUAUGCAGGAAACAGCCAGGUGCUUUGUGAUGGACAUUGUGCAUAAGGCUGUGGCUGCCAUCCGGGCAAGAGCUGAGCAGGAAAAGGAGCAGGAGGAUGUGGCCCAAAGCCACGUGGAUGUGUCAAUGGCACCAGUGAUGCCAGUAACACUGGAGAACAUCGAGACUCCUAUGGCAGUAGAGCCUCAGGCAGAGCCCAGCUCAGCCCCUUUCACCCCUGCAGCAGAUGAGGCUGGAGAAGACAUUGUGUCGCCCAUGUCUGCCAACCAGAAAGUAGCCAGGAGAGCCAUUAUACCUCUGAGAGAAGACAAGCAGGAAGAUGCAGCUGCAUUGACAGAGAUCCCUGGGGCAGGCGGUCAGAAACCCCACCUUGUCGAAGGGACAGAUGCACAGACAACAUCUGUAGCACAAGAGCAGGAGGAGGCAACGGCACCACCUUCCCAUGGCUUUGAUAAGGAGGAGGUAGAAGAAGAGGAGCGGAGAAUGUCGUUGGCCCUGCUCAGCCCCACUGCCUUGGAGUUGGUUAUGCAGGAAACAGCCAGGUGCUUUGUGAUGGACGUUGUGCAUAAGGCUGUGGCUGCCAUCCGGGCAAGAGCUGAGCAGGAAAAGGAGCAGGAGGAUGUGGCCCAAAGUGAAACAGAGGCACGGAGAAAGUCAUCUGCCCUGCUCAGCCCUAAAGCCAGUAAGAUGACACAACCAAAAGAGACAGGAAUUCGUGAGAGGCGUCCUGCACAAGCCUUUGCUGUUGUCUGCGAAAUGGACGAGCAGCCAACACCAGCACAGGCCCAGAGUGAGGCACCAACACAGGCCAGGAGCCUGGGCACAGAUAGACAGGGACCAGGACAGGCCUUUACACAAGGACUAGUACCACCACACGCCCAGAGACAGGC
rnacentral:lncRNA from 14 species